rnacentral:rRNA from 1 species
CCCGCCGGCGACCGGCGCACGGGUGAGUAACACGUAUGAAACCUGCCCGUAGCAGGGGGAUAAGCGGAAGAAAUUCCGUCUAAUACCGCGUAACAACCCAUGGAGGCAUCUCUGUGGGUUUAAAGGAAGCGAUUCCGGCUACGGAUGGUCAUGCGUCGCAUUAGGUAGACGGCGGGGUAACGGCCCACCGUGCCGACGAUGCGUAGGGGUUCUGAGAGGAAGGCCCCCCACACUGGUACUGAGACACGGACCAGACUCCUACGGAAGGCAGCAG